rnacentral:rRNA from 1 species
CUACGGAGGGUGCAAGCGUUACUCGGAAUCACUGGGCGUAAAGCGCGCGCAGGCGGCUAUUUAAGUUGGAUGUGAAAGCCUACGGCUCAACCGUAGAACUGCAUCCAAAACUAUUUAGCUAGAGUGUGGGAGAGGAAGAUGGAAUUAGUUGUGUAGGGGUAAAAUACGUAGAGAUAACUAGGAAUACCAAAAGCGAAGGCAAUCUUCUGGAACACUACUGACGCUGAGGUACGAAAGCGUGGGUAGCAAACAGGAUUAGAUACCCUAGUAGUCC